GAUUAGAAAUAAUUUUUACAUUCGUUUGUGUUAAUAUUGUCCCAUUUCAUGUUGAAAAACUAUAUUUAUUUGAUAAUUCAUUUUGAACAGCGACGCGGGUCCGAGAUUAUAAGAAUGCGCGCGCAUUUAUUAAAAUAUGAAAUUUGGAGUUACGAAUCGUAGGCUGGAAUUUCAAGUACACGUCGUUGAAAAUGUUAGGUUAGUUUGAUACGUAGCCCAAGACUUAAUUAUUGCACUGUUUGUUUAUAUGUGUUAGGUUAUAAACAGCCUAAACGAAACCGCGAGAUUUGUCAGAAUUCAAGAUGAAAGCUAGUGUUUUUCUGGUACCUGCUUUAAUAGGUUUUAAGACUACAGUUCCUACACUACAUUAGUAAAAUUUUACAAUUGCUACUUUGAGGGAUUGUCGGACAAUACAGGGGGAUGACGCCAGUAAAAGGAGCCUGCAGCUAGUGUAUAGUGGGCUAGAAACAUCGAGGGUUGCAUGAAAUUAUGAUUUAUACCUUCAUGAUUAACUUUGAAAUACCAACAAAGAUAUGAUUUUGAGACAGAAGGAAGAAAUGGGCUAAUUUAGCACUGUGAACAGUUGACUGGAGUACUAUAUAGUUACACUGUAUACUAUGUUCUUGUUAGUGUUAAAAUAUUGUUGACAUUAUAAUUUAAAAAAUGGCUUUCAAAAUGGUGUAUUGUUUUUUUUUAAAUUGGUUUCACCAUUCAAAAACUUAAUUUACAUAUGAAUCAUGUACACUUUUUUCUAUUCUAAAAUAUUUACUGAAAAAAAAAUGUGUCAAAGGUAGCUCUUGAAUUUUCUUUCAAAAUAUGCGAAAAAACUUAAAAGGGGAAUUUACAACAAGCAAGAUCGUUUUUCAGUAAACACAACAGAAUUUUAUGAACUUACACAAGACUAAAAAAGAGCCAGUAACGCAGUGUACAUUUUCUCGUCUUCAAAUCAUAUAUUUUCAUAAGCUGCCGUUUAUAAAUGAAAUAUAAUUCUUAAAAGUGAAAUAAAUAUUACAAUAAUGUUAUCUUCAAGUGUAAAAAAAACAAUAACAAUUGUUUUAAAGACAAGGAGAAGAAUGGGAAAUUAUAAAGAAGAGGGCCAAGUGAACACAAAUGAGAAUACAUCUUUAUCUGAGAUCCAUUUUCCAGACGAAAUGUAACAGAAGACAACAAUUGAUACUUUUUUUCUCACCACCUGAAGGAAGAAAACAGAAAACACCAGCAUUGAGGGUUUCAGUUCCAAAAUUAGCAUCAGGUGAAAUGGUGAAACUUAUCUACUAAGAAAUUGAAAAUAAACACCUGGUUCACCAGAUUUUGCUCCUCUCGAUUUCUCUAUAAUUUGGAUGAACUAAAGGAAGAAAUUACAAACUACUGCAUUAACAUGAUCAAGAAAUGCUCCAGAGUAUUUUGAAAAUCAUGUAACAUAUUGUUGCCUAUAUUAAGUUUAAUUUUUUAUAAAAAGUCAUAUAUGUCUUAACAUAAAGAAUUAAAUGGCAACUAAGUAACUCAUUUGUUUUAAGCAAUUAUAUUUUAAUUUUAUAACUGCAUUGUUCAAUGUUGCAACAUUUGAAAGAACUGUUGUAAUAAUUUUAAAUGUGAGUUGUUAAACUACAGAUAUGAAAGCAUGUUAUGCGUGCAUUUCAAAUGAGAAAAAUUAUUUGAUCACGUCAUUAACAUUUUAAUAAGGCUACAUAACUGUAUUAAUUUAAAUAGAACAGUACUGUAGUCUUUUAGUCGAAAAGUUGGCAACGACAUCACAUUUUGUUUUAAAAAGCUCAC